rnacentral:rRNA from 1 species
GACGAACCGUGCGAACGUUAUUCGGAAUCACUGGGCUUAAAGCGCGUGUAGGCGGUCCGGCACGUCUGUCGCUGAAAUCCCCCGGCUCAACCGGGGAACGGGCGCGGAUACGACCGUCCUGGAGGGGCGUAGGGGGACCUGGAACUUCCGGUGGAGCGGUGAAAUGCGUUGAGAUCGGAAGGAACGCCCGUGGCGAAAGCGAGGUCCUGGACGCUUACUGACGCUGAGACGCGAAAGCCAGGGGAGCGAACGGG